rnacentral:lncRNA from 1 species
UCAUUGGUUAGAAUAUCAUCUUUUAUAUCAAAAUUACCUUUGCUCAAACAAUCAAUGAUAUUUGAAUUAUCAACAAUUUCUGUUUGAUCUGUUUGUUGGGACAAACAGUAUUCUGGUUGUGUUUCUUCAGAGGCUUGUUCUUGUACUUGCCAACUUUCCUCAUCAUCCUCCACAUCUUGAAGUUCUUGCUCUCUUCUUAACAUGAUUGCAUUCAAUGAGAUGGCCAUUUGACC